GAUACUGCUCGACGAAAUCUAUCACCCAAGAUUGUCUACACUCUUCUGGGUAUCUGCAUCCUGGUGUCCGUUCUGUCGCUUGUUCUUGCGUUGAUACUGAUGGCACAGAUGGGUGAAAUGAAGAGGUCAGAUGCUGACUUUCGGAUGGAAAGUUCCCAAUGGAAGAGCAAUGUUACAGGAAACGUUGAGAAAGCAACCAGCUCACUUUCCGACGUUCAGGCUGAGAUUGCACUUCUGAGAGAGCUUACAGGGAACCUUGAGAAGGCAAUGCCCAACUCUCCAAACUCCAGCCUGAGAUUCCACGGCAGAGGGAGAGU